UGAUAUCUCCUAGACGACAUCUGAAAGGGAUUAAAGAUUUAUCGGUGAUGGAUGGGGAUGCGUCUGAUUAGCUUGUUGGCGGGGUAACGGCCCACCAAGGCAACGAUCAGUAGGGGUUCUGAGAGGAAGGUCCCCCACAUUGGAACUGAGACACGGUCCAAACUCCUACGGGAGGCAGCAGUGAGGAAUAUUGGUCAAUGGGCGAGAGCCUGAACCAGCCAAGUAGCGUGCAGGACGACGGCCCUAUGGGUUGUAAACUGCUUUUAUAAGGGAAUAAAGUGAGUCUCGUGAGACUUUUUGCAUGUACCUUAUGAAUAAGGACCGGCUAAUUCCGUG
rnacentral:rRNA from 1 species